rnacentral:rRNA from 1 species
GGCGAGGGGAGUGAAAAAGAACCUGAAACCGUGUACGUACAAGCAGUGGGAGCACAGGUUUACCUGUGUGACUGCGUACCUUUUGUAUAAUGGGUCAGCGACUUAUAUUCUGUAGCAAGGUUAACCGUAUAGGGGAGCCGGAGGGAAACCGAGUCUUAAUUGGGCGUUAAGUUGCAGGGUAUAGACCCGAAACCCGGUGAUCUAGCCAUGGGCAGGUUGAAGGUUGGGUAACACUAACUGGAGGACCGAACCGACUAAUGUUGAAAAAUUAGCGGAUGACCUGUGGCU